rnacentral:rRNA from 1 species
GGAGCUCUCCCAUAUGGUCGACCUGCAGGCGGCCGCGAAUUCACUAGUGAUUAGAGUUUGAUCCUGGCUCAGGAUGAACGCUGGCGGCGUGCCUAACACAUGCAAGUCGAACGAAGCAAUUAAAGGAAGUUUUCGGAUGGAAUUUGAUUGACUGAGUGGCGGACGGGUGAGUAACGCGUGGAUAACCUGCCUCACACUGGGGGAUAACAGUUAGAAAUGACUGCUAAUACCGCAUAAGCGCACAGUACCGCAUGGUACGGUGUGAAAAACUCCGGUGGUGUGAGAUGGAUCCGCGUCUGAUUAGCCAGUUGGCGGGGUAACGGCCCACCAAAGCGACGAUCAGUAGCCGACCUGAGAGGGUGACCGGCCACAUUGGGACUGAGACACGGCCCAAACUCCUACGGGAGGCAGCAGUGGGGAAUAUUGCACAAUGGGCGAAAGCCUGAUGCAGCGACGCCGCGUGAGUGAAGAAGUAUUUCGGUAUGUAAAGCUCUAUCAGCAGGGAAGAAAAUGACGGUACCUGACUAAGAAGCCCCGGCUAACUACGUGCCAGCAGCCGCGGUAAUACGUAGGGGGCAAGCGUUAUCCGGAUUUACUGGGUGUAAAGGGAGCGUAGACGGCGAAGCAAGUCUGAAGUGAAAACCCAGGGCUCAACCCUGGGACUGCUUUGGAAACUGUUUUGCUAGAGUGUCGGAGAGGUAAGUGGAAUUCCUAGUGUAGCGGUGAAAUGCGUAGAUAUUAGGAGGAACACCAGUGGCGAAGGCGGCUUACUGGACGAUAACUGACGUUGAGGCUCGAAAGCGUGGGGAGCAAACAGGAUUAGAUACCCUGNUAGUCCACGCCGUAAACGAUGAAUGCUNGGUGUUGGGGGGCAAAGCCCUUCGGUGCCGUCGCNNCGCANUANGCAUUCCACCUGGGGAGUACGUUCGCAAGAAUGAAACUCAAGGAAUUGACGGGGACCCGCACAAGCGGNGGNNCAUGUNGUUUNAUUUCGAAGCA